rnacentral:sRNA from 1 species
GUUUGCACUCAUCGGGGAAGGGUGAGAACCUUCGACUAAGGUUCGAUUCGAGCGAAAGCGAGAGAACGUUGCCACAGGCAACGGCCAGAAGGGUGAGGAGCGAAGCGACGAAUAAUCCUUCCCCCACCACCA